UGAACUUAAGGAAUUGACGGAAGGGCACCACCAGGAGUGGAGCCUGCGGCUUAAUUUGACUCAACACGGGAAACCUCACCAGGCCCGGACACCGGAAAGAUUGACAGAUUGAGAGCUCUUUCUUGAUUCGGUGGGUGGUGGUGCAUGGCCGUUCUUAGUUGGUGGAGCGAUCUGUCUGGUUAAUUCCGAUAACGAACGAGACUCUGUCCUGCUAACUAGGCGGGUAAACCCGGGUCGGCGUGUGCGCGGCGCUGGCGGUUUCGGCCGUCAGUGUUCGCGUACCCGUCGGCUCGGCCCGGUAUCCCCGAACGCGUUCGCCCGUCGUCCACGGCGGUCGUCGGGCGCGGCCGCGCCAUCCGCGUCCCGGCGUUCGGCGGGCGUAUGUCGGCCGGGGGGCAACCUCCGGUCGGCCUGCGUCCGUCGUGCGUCGGGCUCCGUGGUGAAGCGCGCCGUGUUCGCGGCCGUCGCCGGCGGAUCACGAUACGUUACUAGGGCUACCGCCGGCUCCCAGGAGCUUAAACUCUUCUUAGAGGGACAGGCGGCGGACGAACAUAGCCGCACGAGACUGAGCGAUAACAGGUCUGUGAUGCCCUUAGAUGUUCUGGGCCGCACGCGCGCUACACUGAAGGAAUCAGCGUGUUUAACAAUCCUGGGCCGACAGGCUUCCGGGUAACCCGCUGAACCUCCUUCGUGCUUAGGGAUCGUGGCUUGCAAUUUUUCCACGUGAACGAGGAAUUCCCAGUAAGCGCGAGUCAUCAGCUCGCGUUGAUUACGUCCCUGCCCUUUGUACACACCGCCCGUCGCUACUACCGAUUGAACGGUCGCAUUG
rnacentral:ncRNA from 1 species